UACGUAGGGUGCAAGCGUUAAUCGGAAUUACUGGGCGUAAAGCGUGCGCAGGCGGUUGUGCAAGACAGAUGUGAAAUCCCCGGGCUUAACCUGGGAAUUGCAUUUGUGACUGCACGGCUAGAGUGUGUCAGAGGGGGGGUAGAAUUCCACGUGUAGCAGUGAAAUGCGUAGAUAUGUGGAGGAAUACCGAUGGCGAAGGCAGCCCCCUGGGAUAACACUGACGCUCAUGCACGAA
rnacentral:rRNA from 1 species